rnacentral:rRNA from 1 species
GAUGAACGCUAGCUACAGGCUUAACACAUGCAAGUCGAGGGGCAGCAUGGUCUUAGCUUGCUAAGACUGAUGGCGACCGGCGCACGGGUGAGUAACACGUAUCCAACCUGCCGUCUACUCUUGGACAGCCUUCUGAAAGGAAGAUUAAUACAAGAUGGCAUCAUGAGUCCGCAUGUUCACAUGAUUAAAGGUAUUCCGGUAGACGAUGGGGAUGCGUUCCAUUAGAUAGUAGGCGGGGUAACGGCCCACCUAGUCUUCGAUGGAUAGGGGUUCUGAGAGGAAGGUCCCCCACAUUGGAACUGAGACACGGUCCAAACUCCUACGGGAGGCAGCAGUGAGGAAGUAUUGGUCAAUGGACGAGAGUCUGAACCAGCCAAGUAGCGUGCAGGAUGACGGCCC